CUGUACCUCAAGCCCGGCUUGUGUGUUGGGCCCUACCGUCCCUCUGGACGGUGACCCGAAAGGCAGUGGCGGCGUCGCGUCCCGGUCCUUGAAGCGUAUGGGGCUUUGUCACCCGCUUGGAGGCCGGCCGACCCCGUAGCCCAUCGUGGAUCUUUCCACAUUUAUUCU
rnacentral:misc_RNA from 1 species